GUGGCAUUAGCUCAGCUGGUUAGAGCACCAGAUUGUGGAUCUGGGGGUCGAGGGUUCAAAUCCCUUAUGCCACCCA
rnacentral:tRNA from 1 species